UACGGGGGGAGCAAGCGUUGUUCGGAUUUACUGGGCGUAGAGGGCGCGUAGGCGGCCACCGCAAGUCAGUUGUGAAAUCUCUGGGCUUAACCCAGAAAGGUCAACUGAUACUGCGGGGCUAGAGUGCAGAAGGGGCAACUGGAAUUCUCGGUGUAGCGGUGAAAUGCGUAGAUAUCGAGAGGAACACCUGCGGCGAAGGCGGGUUGCUGGGCUGACACUGACGCUGAAGCGCGAAAGCUAGGGGAGCGAACGGG
rnacentral:rRNA from 1 species